CUUUAAAACUUAUACAACUUUCAACAACGGAUCUCUUGGCUCUCGCAUCGAUGAAGAACGCAGCGAAAUGCGAUAAGUAAUGUGAAUUGCAGAAUUCAGUGAAUCAUCGAAUCUUUGAACGCACCUUGCGCUCCUUGGUAUUCCGAGGAGCAUGCCUG
rnacentral:rRNA from 1 species